GUCGGCGUAGCUCAAUUGGAAGAGCGCGAGCUUGCCACGUUCGAGGUCGGGAGUUCGAACCUCCUCGCCGACU
rnacentral:tRNA from 1 species